rnacentral:lncRNA from 1 species
AGAGAGAAGGGAAAGGCGAACACGCCAGGACCCUAAGCACGGCCGGGGAAGGCGAUCUCCGCGGCGGAUCGCGACGGCGCCAUGGCCGGCUCCUCGGAGCUCACGGCUAGGAUGCUAGAAGGCACCAAAUCGCGCGAAAAUAGGUCGGAAAGAGCGCGGGGAAGAAGAGGAGCUCACCAGCGCAAAGAAAACGGGCGAAAACGGCUUGGCUCGGCCGGCCCGCGAGCCGAGGAUCGCGGCGUCCCGGCGGCGACCUCCGAUGCGGUUGCUGCGCGUGCAAGACGAGAGUAGAGGUGGGGAAGAGCACGAAAUGGGAGCGGAGGGGAACGGCACUGGCUUGGGCGCAUCCAAAGAAGGCGAGGCGCGGGGAAGAACGUGGGGGAGCGGGGAGGGUGCGCGGCUUGCGGUUCCACAGAACCGAGAGAGAGAGGGAGGAGCGGUUGGAGAGGUGGGAGAAGGAGCUGACAAGCGGGCCCCGCUUGUCGGAGAGAGAGAGAAAGGGAAGGGGUAGCCGGCUGGGCCUUGGCCCAGGAAGAAAGAAAGGGGCACGAGGUUGGGCCCUGCAGGCCGAAAACGAGUGGGGGGAAAUAGGGGGAGAGAGGUUUUCUUUCUUUUUUUUUUCUUUUUUCUUCCCUUUUUCAAACCAAUUUUCAAAUACCUUUUCAAAUUGAAUUUUUUUAACAAAUUUGACAUUUUGUUUUUAAAACAAUCAUCACCAUAAAAAUGCACCAACAUGUAUGCAUCAAAAAUUUUCUAAACUUAUAUUAAAUUUUUAAUUCUCCAAAUUUAUUUAUUUUUCCUAUAUUUUGAUGCUCACAAAAUUGACUAUAAAAUCAAAUUCAUCUAUUUAAAAACAAACAAAUUUUAGGGUGUUACAAUUCUACCCCCUUUAAAAAUGAAUCUCGUCCUCGAGAUUCGAAAGAGGCUCAGAUCCUUUGAGAGAAAUUGGAAAAUAUCUUGAUAAUCCUUUCAACUUCACAACUUGCAUACCAAAUGUAAACACUUAUACCUCAAGGUCACAUCUCGUGAACAACAUUUCCAUUGAAUGACUAUUAUUCAUAGUUGACCGAAGUCCUUCUUGACUACUAAUCCUCUUAGCUUACAACUCCAAGAGACAUAGAAACUUAAUAUGCAUUUGCUUCAUCAGGUAGGAGUGGACCACCGUGAUACUCAAUUCUUUUCCCUGACGGUGCUGUUAAGAGCAUUUUGUACUGGGUACCAUGGAUCACUCCUUUGUGUGCACACAACCAUCCAUUACCAAGGACCAAGGGAAUACCAAGCGACUCUAGCACAAUGAGGUUUACAGUGAAGUUUUCCUUGUUUAUGACCAGAUUGAUAUUUGAGCACACCUGAUCUGCUUGUAUUUCUCCCACUGGGGUUUGAACUAGUAAAGGCUUCCUCGUUGGGCACUUCACCCACUCGAUCGUCUUUACCAAGUCAGCAGAAAUGAAAGAAUGCGAAGCACUCGGGUCAAACAGAGCAAAAACUUGCACUGAGUCUACUUGAAUAUAGCCACCAACCACUUUGGUAGCUCUAUGAAUGUUAUGCCUAUCCACGUUGCUCAGUCUCCCAUUAAUAUAGUCUCGUUGCACCUUACUUUCUUGAGUAGGCUUAUUACGGCUUUUCCUUUUUCUCUUUCGCCGUUGUGGAUUCUGAUUUGAUUCACUUCCAACUUGCUCUUGAGUAUCAUUAUUUUGAUAGCACUCAGUUUCAUCAUACUCAUAACAUCCUUCAAAGGCAGGAUCAUCAUUCUCUUCCCACGUAUCAGUAAGAGGCAUCAUAUAGGACUCCUGUUCCAUGGGAUACUACACUCCCUGUCAUCAAGUGACCAACGUCAAUGACACGAGAAGGAGAGAUGAUCAUAUUCAUAGAAUAUCUCACGAGACAACUCUCACUUCAAGAUAAGUUGAAAAUGCAUCAACCCAUGAUAUCAAGGUUCUACCCCCCUUAAGAAACGUCAACUAGGAGGCACAAGGAAGGUAGCUUGCACUUUUUCUUGACAAGUUAUUUUGCACUGAGACCUUUUGACAUCCCAAGGAACUUAUGUGCAAGGAAGAAACAAAUAUCCUGAUUUUCCUCGCGAUAUGAAAAUUACUAGUGCAGUAAAAUAGACAUAACUCUUGUUCUGUUAACCCAAUAGGGCCAUAGCUUAUACCGUUAGAAAGAUUAGAAAAUUUUCUACAACCUUUCUGUAGAACACUUUUCCAAAUUCUAUAGUUAUGUUUGUCCAAAACAGUAGGCAACCAAAACUGGUCCAGGUUCUUGACAGCACAUCUGUAUCGUCUUGUGAUUUUUUGUAACUUCCAAACCAUAAUAGCUAUGGGGGUGAUUCUUGCGGUCAGAGAAAGAUCUUGAAGUCCACUCUCAUCCAGAAUUUUAUCAUGAUUUUUAUUCAUCCAAGAUCAGAGACAUAAGCCGAUAAAGAUGAGAUACUCUAGAAAGGCACGAUAAGGUAACAAGAGAAAAACCAAAACCCAACUAUUUAUGUCAUUAAUCCUUAUGCCUUAGACAUAUAAACUAAAUAAAAUUGUGAAGAAACUCACAAGAUCUUUACACUCAUUACAAAGAUCCAAAGCAAACAUAAACAUAAAGACAAUUCAACCAAGCAGUAAAGUUUCACAAGGCACACAAACUUGACUUUCGCUGCUACCGUUUUUAUUACACAAGGGCACAAACUCCUAUAUCUUAAACUCAGUGUGGCUUCUUUCAUGAUACUAUUGUUGGUUCUUCUGUGGACAAGACUUUACAUAGUGUCCUUCCUGUCGGCAGUGAUAACACUUUUUCUUAGCUGGAUCCUUCGUGAUAUGAUUUUCCACUGAGGUGUUGCUCGGUGUGUUAUCAGUUUGCUGACUCUGAAGGUUUGUCUCUGGUUGGCUAGCUUUCUUCCUAACUUGGUUGAUCCUUCGAGGUUGAUACUCUUUAUAAGUGAUGGUCCAUCCAUCUAUGCAUACCUCAUGAGCAGUGGGGUUAGCUUGAGAAGUUUCUUCAUCUCCAAGGUUUGGAUUUUCAUGGCCAGAGUUCAAAGCUAAAUGUGACAACAUAGGAUUUGAAUGUUGUUCACUUCCCAAUGCUGGAUCUAGUGAUUUUGCCUUCCUCUUCUUAUCCUCAUUAGUCCCACAAUUUGGUUUUACCUUAGCUUCCUUUUUAAAUGACCUAUUCCGACGACAAGGAAGACCAUAAUGCCUACAACAAUGGCAUUGAUCAUGAUAUCCUGAUGUAUUACUACCAGCACCUCCAUGGGUUCUUAUAUUUUUCCAAGCUUCUGCUACUUGUCUCUUUACUGGUCCUGAGAUGCACUGUUGAGAGUUCCCAAUCUGAGUCAUUCCUUCCACUACUUGCUUUCGCAUGGCUAGAAGCUUCUCUUUGUCGAAUGCUUUUACGAGUGGCAUUUCUGAGUCCUUUUGUUCAUUCAUGCCAAAGGUCUCCUUGUUAUGAACCAUCUAAAUAGACAAGGUGGAUGGACUUAGAAUAGAGACAAAGUUUUAUAAUAGAAUAGGGUAGAGGUAAGCAUAAUUUUUAGCAAUUAUCAAGGUUAAGGUGAAAGCAAGAAGUAAGCAGAGAUAGAAGCAUCCUAAAACGUCCGGUUCUAACUAGGCUUGCGUCCUACAGUCAGCAUUUGCUUUGAUACCACUUUGUAACACCCGAUUUUAAGAACAAAAUCAGAUAUGCACCAUAUGUGAGUUUUAGAAGACAAGCCUCACAUAUAGCUACAAAUAAGGGGUAAUAUCAAAGGACAACGCAUAAGUUAUAUAGCGUAGAUAAUAAAUUAGAAACAACCUUGGGCAGCAAACACGGAAGAGAACUCCAAACUUCGAGUGUUAACCUCACUCUACAGGAUCCAACUGACUGGUUGAUCACAAGCCUAAAACUUCUCCUGAGGUGUGGGGGAGAUAGCAAGAGUGAGUCCAUGACGAACUCCGCAAGUAUAACAACUAGAUUGUAUAGAUCCCACAAUCUCAUGAUCAAUGUGACAUAAAUAAUAUAGAGCAUUAAACAAUAAUCAAUGAGUUUCUUAACACAAGAUUCAUCACCCUUAAUGUAAGAGUUCCCAAGGCCACUCGUGACCGUGAGCACGGCUAGUAUACCAGUUUUUUUUAACACUCUGCAGAGGUUGUACAUCUUUACCCAUGAGUCAUGAUUUACCCUUUCGCCUGAGGUGAUCAGCCUCGUAACCCACUACCAAGGUAGGUCGGCAGGGAUCACUAUGAAGUCUUUCAAAGGUUCGUCUAACAAGUUAGGGCCGCUUGGUUUCGUUAGUCAGUCCGUGUGAUUCUACCACUCGCAGGGAAUCCACGGUCUGCUAUCCCCUAUUUGCGCCACACGGGUAACCUCUAACAAGCUAGAAAAAUUACUCAUACUUGACUAAAGCCAGAGCCAUUAUAGCCCUCAUGGUUGCACUUUCAUCCCGGUUAUCACUUACGAAUAAAUCCUCAAGUUGCUAAAAAGUCAUUAUUAUCAUUUGUUGCUUUAUAUCGAUCUAGUCACAAGAUCAUGGUCAUAGAAUUAAAACCCAAAUGCUAUACUUGCCUUGAUCCAAUUGCUCCUGCUGGUCCUGCUGAUCUUACUUGCUUCCAAGGCUCUGAUCUUGAUUACCGAAGUAAAGCUCACCGACUAGACUCGAUCAUCGAUCAUCAACACACAACAAUCGGAGACAGACAUACACGAAGCAAACAAUCCUUUAAUUAGAACAGUACACCAACAGAUCAAAAAUGAAAUAAAAUAUUUAAAAACAGAACCUACGUUUCGCUACGAUCCCAUAGAUACGAAGAUCACGAAAAUCGGAGCUAAAACGACCAAAUUACGGAUUUACGGCGAUUUCCUAUAGCCAUUUAAUUAAUUAAACCUAACCCUGAAAUUAAAAAGUUGCAAACUACAGAAACAGUGGUACUAACAUGUAGAGAAUUUAAUUACGAAUCUAACGCAAUUUGAACGGGUCAAAUCGGAGCUAAAACGAAUAUUUUAUGGCCAAAACAUACUCAGUGGCAUUUUUGUAAAUAUAGAAAACGUAUUUUGAAAUAAAUCGGCAGACUUUACGUUUUCAAAAAUGGAAAGCGUAUUCCCUCAUAUGCGCUUUGGACUGCGGGUUAGAAAUUAGAAAACUAGGGGGUCUCUUUAGAAAAUUUGCCAGGCCGAAGGGGUAUGGGCAUUUCCUGGCCGUCAGAUUCAAGAUCAACGGGCGAGAUUAGAUGGGAGGGGAGAGAGAGAGGGGACUGGCGGCCGGAGUUGGGGAAGGUUGCGGCGGCAGCCAUUGCUGGCGGCGAGGAGCUCGCCGGAGUUUGGUGAUAAGGCGCUGUGGUGCUUGGUUUUCAAAAUCGAGAGCACCGGGAGAGAGAGAAGGGAAAGGCGAACACGCCAGGACCCUAAGCACGGCCGGGGAAGGCGAUCUCCGCGGCGGAUCGCGACGGCGCCAUGGCCGGCUCCUCGGAGCUCACGGCUAGGAUGCUAGAAGGCACCAAAUCGCGCGAAAAUAGGUCGGGAAGAGCGCGGGGAAGAAGAGGAGCUCACCAGCGCAAAGAAAACGGGCGAAAACGGCUUGGCUCGGCCGGCCCGCGAGCCGAGGAUCGCGGCGUCCCGGCGGCGACCUCCGAUGCGGUUGCUGCGCGUGCAAGACGAGAGUAGAGGUGGGGAAGAGCGCGAAAUGGGAGCGGAGGGGAACGGCACUGGCUUGGGCGCAUCCAAAGAAGGCGAGGCGCGGGGAAGAACGUGGGGGAGCGGGGAGGGUGCGCGGCUUGCGGUUCCACAGAACCGAGAGAGAGAGGGAGGAGCGGUUGGAGAGGUGGGAGAAGGAGCUGACAAGUGGGCCCCGCUUGUCGGAGAGAGAGAGAAAGGGAAGGGGUAGCCGGCUGGGCCUUGGCCCAGGAAGAAAGAAAGGGGCACGAGGUUGGGCCCUGCAGGCCGAAAACGAGUGGGGGGAAAUAGGGGGAGAGAGGUUUUCUUUCUUUUUUUUUCUUUUUUUUCCCUUUUUCAAACCAAUUUUCAAAUACCUUUUCAAAUUGAAUUUUUUUAACAAAUUUGACAUUUUGUUUUUAAAACAAUCAUCACCAUAAAAAUGCACCAACAUGUAUGCAUCAAAAAUUUUCUAAACUUAUAUA